rnacentral:rRNA from 1 species
CGCUCUUUGUGAUAUUUAAAUAGGGAGUCGUUCCUGCUCAAUGAUGUAUCUCAUUAAAUAGCAGCGGUAAUUUGACCGUUCAAAGGUAGUGUAAUUCAAGCUCAUUAAUAGUGGGCCAAUGAAUGGAUUGACGAAUUUUUAUUGUCUCAUUAUUAUUUAAUAUAAAUUAACUUCUAGAUGAAGAGGUCUAGAUAUUAAAGAAAGACGAUAAGACCCCAUCAAACUUUAAUAGUUUUANAUAAUAUAAAGGUAUUUAUGUUCAAUGUAUUAUCUAUUUAAGUUGGGGCAACUGAGAAGGAUAAAUACUUUUUUUUGAAAUUAAAUUUAUUUUGAAUGAAACAAAUAUUUUUGUAUAAUGAAUAAGUUACUGUGGGGAUAACAGCAUAAUUCUUUUGGUAAGUUCAUAUUAAAAAAAAGGGUUUGUGACCUCGAUGUUGAAUUAAGGUAUCUAUUAGGUUGUAGAAGCUUAAUUAGAGGGUCUGUU